rnacentral:rRNA from 1 species
GACGAACGCUGGCGGCGUGCUUAACACAUGCAAGUCGAACGGAAAGGCCCUGCUUUUGUGGGGUGCUCGAGUGGCGAACGGGUGAGUAACACGUGAGUAACCUGCCCUUGACUUUGGGAUAACUUCAGGAAACUGGGGCUAAUACCGGAUAGGAGCUCCUGCUGCAUGGUGGGGGUUGGAAAGUUUCGGCGGUUGGGGAUGGACUCGCGGCUUAUCAGCUUGUUGGUGGGGUAGUGGCUUACCAAGGCUUUGACGGGUAGCCGGCCUGAGCGGGUGACCGGCCACAUUGGGACUGAGAUACGGCCCAGACUCCAACGGGAGGCAGCAGUGGGGAAUAUUGCACAAUGGGCGGAAGCCUGAUGCAGCAACGCCGCGUGCGGGAUGACGGCCUUCGGGUUGUAAACCGCUUUCGCCUGUGACGAAGCGGGAGUGACGGUAAUGGGUAAAGAAGCACCGGCUAACUACGUG